rnacentral:rRNA from 1 species
CCCCCCAGCAAGAACAUAAGUAUUGGGGGUAAUGCCUGCCCAGUGACACUGUUAAACGGCCGCGGUAUCCUAACCGUGCAAAGGUAGCGUAAUCACUUGUCUUUUAAAUAAAGACUAGAAUGAAUGGCCAAACGAGGCUCUACCUGUCUCUUACAAAUAAUCAGUGAAAUUGAUCUUCCCGUGCAAAAGCGGGGAUAACACUAUAAGACGAGAAGACCCUGUGGAACUUCAAAUAUAAAAUCAACUAUCACCAACAUCCACCCACGGGCCUUAUACCAAAUAGCACCUGAUUUUUAUUUUCGGUUGGGGCGACCUCGGAACAAAACAAAACCUCCGAAAAAUAAAAAACCCUUUAAACCUAGAACAACAGUUCAAAGUGCUUCCGGCAAAACGAUCCAAUACACUUGAUCAACGAACCAAGCUACCCCAGGGAUAACAGCGCAAUCCCAUCCUAGAGUCCCUAUCGACGAUGGGGUUUACGACCUCGAUGUUGGAUCAGGACAUCCUAAUGGUGUAGCCGCUAUUAAGGGUUCGUUUGUUCAACGAUU